GCCCUAGUAACGGCGAGUGAAGCGGCAACAGCUCAAAUUUGAAAUCUGGCGUCUUUGGCGUCCGAGUUGUAAUUUGCAGAGGGCGCUUUGGCAUUGGCAGCGGUCCAAGUUCCUUGGAACAGGACGUCACAGAGGGUGAGAAUCCCGUACGUGGUCGCUAGCCUUUACCGUGUAAAGCCCCUUCGACGAGUCGAGUUGUUUGGGAAUGCAGCUCUAAAUGGGAGGUAAAUUUCUUCUAAAGCUAAAUACUGGCCAGAGACCGAUAGCGCACAAGUAGAGUGAUCGAAAGAUGAAAAGCACUUUGGAAAGAGAGUUAAAAAGCACGUGAAAUUGUUGAAAGGGAAGCGCUUGCAGCCAGACUUGCCUGUAGUUGCUCAUCCGGGUUUUUACCCGGUGCACUCUUCUAUAGGCAGGCCAGCAUCAGUUUGGGCGGUUGGAUAAAGGUCUCUGUCAUGUACCUCUCUUCGGGGAGAACUUAUAGGGGAGACGACAUGCAACCAGCCUGGACUGAGGUCCGCGCAUCUGCUAGGAUGCUGGCGUAAUGGCUGUAAGCGGCCCGUCUUGAAACACGGACCAAGGAGUCUAACAUCUAUGCGAGUGUUUGGGUGUCAAGCCCGAGCGCGUAAUGAAAGUGAACGGAGGUGGGAACCCCUCGGGGUGCACCAUCGACCGAUCCUGAUGUCUUCGGAUGGAUUUGAGUAAGAGCAUAGCUGUUGGGACCCGAAAGAUGGUGAACUAUGCUUGAAUAGGGUGAAGCCAGAGGAAACUCUGGUGGAGGCUCGCAGCGGUUCUGACGUGCAAAUCGAUCGUCAAAUUUGGGCAUAGGGGCGAAAGA
rnacentral:rRNA from 1 species